rnacentral:tRNA from 1 species
GUCUCCGUAGCUCAGCAGGAUAGAGCACGGGAUUCCUAAUCCCGGGGCCAUGGGUUCGAAUCCCGUCGGGGACACCA